rnacentral:rRNA from 1 species
AACGAACGCUGGCGGCAUGCCUAACACAUGCAAGUCGAACGAGACCUUCGGGUCUAGUGGCGCACGGGUGCGUAACGCGUGGGAACCUGCCCUUAGGUUCGGAAUAACUCCCCGAAAGGGGUGCUAAUACCGGUUAAUGUCUUCGGACCAAAGAUUUAUCGCCUUUGGAUGGGCCCGCGUUGGAUUAGCUAGUUGGUAGGGUAAAAGCCUACCAAGGCGACAAUCCAUAGCUGGUCUGAGAGGAUGAUCAGCUACACUGGGACUGAGACACGGCCCAGACUCCUACGGGAGGCAGCAGUGGGUAAUAUUGGACAAUGGGCGAAAGCCUGAUCCAGCAAUGCCGCGUGAGUGAUGAAGGCCUUAGGGUUGUAAAGCUCUUUUACCCGGGAUGAUAAUGACAGUACCGGGAGAAUAAGCACCGGCUAACUCCGUG